UUACCCGCUGAACUUAAGCAUAUCAAUAAGCGGAGGAAAAGAAAAUAACAAUGAUUCCCCUAGUAACUGCGAGUGAAGAGGGACAAGCUCAAAUUUUAAAUCCAUCGGGUUUUACCUGAUCGAGUUGUAAUUUGAAGAGGCGUUUUCUGUGUUUCUGAUCAGUCCAAGUCCUUUGGGAUAAGGCAUCAUGGAGGGUGAGAAUCCCGUCCGGUUGAUCAGAUUCGCUUUACGAUACGCUUUCUAAGAGUCAAGUUGUUUGGGAUUGCAGCUUAAAAUGGGAGGUAAAUUUCUCCUAAGGCUAAAUAACGGCGAGAGACCGAUAGCGAACAAGUACCGUGAGGGAAAGAUGAAAAGAACUUUGAAAAGAGAGUUAAACAGUACGUGAAAUUGUUGAAAGGGAAACGAUUGAAGCCAGUCGUACCUUCGGGUAAUCAGCCUUUUGGGUGUGAUUUUGUGGAGCGUGAAGAGUUAAACGCCUUCAUGCUUUGCAUAUUCGUGCUCUUGGGUGUACUUGCCCGUGUGGUUGGUUAACAUCAAUUUUGGUGGUCAUAAAAUGACUGGAGGAAUGUAGCUUCGAUCUUGUAUUGAAGUGUUAUAGCCUUCGGUAGAUGUGAUGAUCGAGAUUGAGGAUUGCAACGGAUACCCUUCGGGGCUACCUGUCUGGUCUCUGAUCGUUGCUCUGGUGCCGAAAGCUUGCUUACGGUUAUCAAAGUCGAUGGUCAAUAGGUUAGAACGGGUUAAAUUCGUUAAGGAUGUUGACGUAAUGGCUUUAAACGACCCGUCUUGAAACACGGACCAAGGAGUCUAACAUAUAUGCGAGUGUUAGGGUGAAUAAACCCUUACGCGUAAUGAAAGUAAUUUUGGUGGGAACAUUUUUGUGCACCAUCGACCGAUCAGGAUAUUUUUUGAUAGAUUUGAGUAAGAGCAUAUCUGCUAGGACCCGAAAGAUGGUGAACUAUGCCUGAAUAGGGUGAAGUCAGAGGAAACUCUGAUGGAGGCUCGUAGCGGUUCUGACGUGCAAAUCGAUCGUCAAAUUUGGGUAUAGGGGCGAAAGACUAAUCGAACCAUCUAGUAGCUGGUUCCUGCCGAAGUUUCCCUUAGGAUAGCAGAAACUCGUUAACAGUUUUAUGAGGUAAAGCGAAUGAUUAGAGGCCUUAGGGUUGAAACAGCCUUAACCUAUUCUCAAACUUUAAAUAUGUAAGAAGUUUAUCGUUACUUAAUUGAACGUGAACAUUCGAAUGAGAGUUUCUAGUGGGCCAUUUUUGGUAAGCAGAACUGGGCGA
rnacentral:rRNA from 1 species